UACGUAGGGUGCAAGCGUUAGUCGGAAUUACUGGGCGUAAAGCGUGCGCAGGUGGUUCUUUAUGUCAGAUGUGAAAUCCCCGGGCUUAACCUGGGAAUUGCGUUUGAAACUGGAGAACUAGAAUGUAGCAGAGGGGGGUAGAAUUCCACGUGUAGCAGUGAAAUGCGUAGAGAUGUGGAGGAACACCGAUGGCGAAGGCAGCCCCCUGGGCUAACAUUGACACUCAUGCACGAAAGCGUGGGGAGCAAACAGG
rnacentral:rRNA from 1 species